GAUGAACGCUGGCGGCGUGCCUAAUACAUGCAAGUCGAGCGAACAGACGAGGAGCUUGCUCCUCUGACGUUAGCGGCGGACGGGUGAGUAACACGUGGAUAACCUACCUAUAAGACUGGGAUAACUUCGGGAAACCGGAGCUAAUACCGGAUAAUAUAUUGAACCGCAUGGUUCAAUAGUGAAAGACGGUUUUGCUGUCACUUAUAGAUGGAUCCGCGCCGCAUUAGCUAGUUGGUAAGGUAACGGCUUACCAAGGCAACGAUGCGUAGCCGACCUGAGGGGGUGAGAGGCCACAGGGAAACUGACACACGGCACAGACCCCCACGGGAGGCAGGAGGAGGAAAUCUUCCGCAAUGGGCGAAAGCUUGACGGAGAAACGCCGCGUGAGUGAUGAAGGUCUUCGGAUCGUAAAACUCUGUUAUUAGGGAAGAACAAAUGUGUAAGUAACGAUGCUAGUCUUGACGGAACCAAACAAGAAAGCCCCGGCUAACUACGU
rnacentral:rRNA from 1 species